UACGAAGGGGGCUAGCGUUGUUCGGAAUUACUGGGCGUAAAGCGCACGUAGGCGGAUACUUAAGUUAGGGGUGAAAUCCCGGGGCUCAACCCCGGAACUGCCUUUGAUACUGGGUAUCUGGAGUCCAAGAGAGGUGAGUGGAAUUCCGAGUGUAGAGGUGAAAUUCGUAGAUAUUCGGAGGAACACCAGUGGCGAAGGCGGCUCACUGGCUCGGUACUGACGCUGAGGUGCGAAAGCGUGGGGAGCAAACAGG
rnacentral:rRNA from 1 species